GAGCAAUGCGGAAGACACAGUGAGGUGGGGAGUUUGGCUGAGGCGGCACAUUUGUGAAACAAUAGCGCAGGUGUUUUAAGGCAAGCUCAAUGAGAAGAGAAAUCUCAUGUUUACCAGAAGGGGAAAAGCUUGCUUGAUUUUGAUUUUCAGUACGAAUACAAACUGUGAAAGCAUGACCUAUCGAUCCUUUAGGUCUGAGAAGCUUUCAGUUAGAGGUGGCAGAAAGGUUACCACAGGUAUAACUGGCUUGUGGCAGCCAAGCGUUCAUAGCGACGUUGCUUUUUGAUCCUUCGAUGUCGG
rnacentral:ncRNA from 1 species